rnacentral:lncRNA from 1 species
AAGCUCAGGGGAAAAAUCACAAAUUAACCCAUGAAAAUAAAAUGAAAAAAAUAAUUGAAUAAAGAAGGGCCCAACCGUGUUCAAACCGGUGACCUCAAGAUUUGCAAUCAAACAUGCAGCUCAAAUGCUCUACCACUGAGCUCUGGACCCGUGAAUGAGCAAAAGUUUUAUAUUAAAAUUACUUAUCUCAUUACACCAACUUUUCAUCUCAUAUAUACGCAUUUUAUUAUUCUUUUUCAAAUUUCAAAUGUGAAAAUGAUAAACACUAUCACUGGUUUUUCUUUAUUUUCUUCCAUUUCAAAAAAAACAAACCAGAAAAACUUGUACUUGAAAAGAGGGACAAAAACUAUGUUGUUAACCCAUUAAAAAAAAAUAAAAAAUUAUUGGAUAAUUGAAUAAAGAAGGGCCCAACCGGGUUCGAACCGAUGACCUCAAGAUUUGCAAUCAAACAUGCAGCUCAAAUGCUCUACCACUGAGCUAUGGACCCGUGAAUGAGUAAUACUUUUAUAUUCAAAUUACUUAUCUCACUUCACCAACUUUUCAUCUCAUACAUACGCAUUUUAUUAUUCUUCUUCAAAUUCCAAAAGUGAAAAAGAUAAGCACAAUCACUGGUUUUUCUUUAUUUUCUUCCAUUUCACAGACAAAAACUAGAAAACCUUUUACCUGGAAAGAGAGACAAAGACUAUGUUUCAUGAAAUAUAUAGCAUGUAUGUACAAGUUCAAGGGAAAAAUCACCAGUUAAUCCAUUCAAAUAAAAUAAAAAAAUUAUUUAAAAAUUGAAUAAAGAAGGGCCCAACCGGGUUCGAACCGAUGACCUUAAGAUUUGCAAUCAAACAUGCAGCUCAAAUGCUCUACCACUGAGCUAUGGACCCGUGAAUGAGUAAUAGUUUUAUAUUAAACUUACUUAUCUCAUUUCAUUACAUACAUAUGCAUUUUAUUAUUCUUCUUCAAAUUUCAAAAGUGAAAAAGAUAAGCACAAUCAAUGGUUUUUCUUUAUUUUCUUCCAAUUCAC